rnacentral:tRNA from 1 species
GAGGGCAUAGCUUAGUGGAAGAGUGCGUGCCUAGCAUGCACAAGGUCCUGGGUUCAAUCCCUGGAACCUCC